rnacentral:lncRNA from 1 species
UUUCACGUAUCUAUUUAAAAAUUUCACGCUUUAGUUCACAUGCUUAAUAGAGUUUACCCUAAGGGCAUGUUUAGUUCACCUAUUUUAUACUAUGGAAUCGAAAUGAAAUUUAUUAAUUCCGAUAGUUGCCGUUUGUUUUAUAGAAAUCGGAUUCCGAUUCCCAUUCCACUCCGGAAUGGGAAUGGUCAAAUCCAUUAAUGAUCCAAUCCGGUUUUGAAUUCCGGAUUGGCUCAUUCCAAAAUAAACUAUUCAAAAUUCUCUUUCAUCAACACCUACCACCUCUCCCUUCAUCACUUUCCUCUCACUUAAUCAAAACCCUCUUUCAAAAAUUUUAAAUUUUCAUUCCGAUUUCCAGUCCAAUAAUGAACCAAACAUUUUUGGAUGAUUCGUCAUUCCAUUUUCCAUUCCAAAGCAAUCCAAUUCCAUUUCCUAUUCCUAUUCAAAUCAUGAACCAAACAUGCCCUAAAACUAAUUUUAUUUUGGGGAUUAGAUAUUCCAGUUGUAGUAGAUAUUGGCAUAAGCUUGGGCGGGUGAAAAAUUUCAUUUGGGGGCUAUUAAUAAGAGUUACUAUUUCCGACUUCUAAAAUGAAAGCCUCUGCGAUUUUGCCAAAAGCGGAAAGCCCAUUUAGGGAUGCAAACGGAUCCGGGUUGGUGGAGCUCCCGCCCCGAUCCGCCCCGACGGGGGCAGUAAAUGGGAGAAGAUAAACGGAUUCGGGACGGGAAACGGGGCAAAUUUUACAAUCCGAGACGGAUUCGGGACAGGAAACGGGAGAAAUUUUGACCCGCCCUGAAUCCGCCCCGCCAUGAUCCGCCCCGAAUCUGCCCCGAAAAUUAUUUAUAUUUUUAAAAAAUAUUUCUAAAAAAUAAUGUAUUUACAAAAAAGUUCAAAAUACAAAUAACUUAGUACUCUCAUUUCUAAUCUAUUUGAAGCUUUUCAAUUUUGUUUUGAAUUGUGAUUGAAAUUUUUUAUUUUUAUAAUUAAUAUUGUUAAAUAUUAUAUAUAUAUAAUAUUAUUAAAAAUUAUUAAUUUAUAUUUUACAAAAUAUUAAUAAUAUUAUAAUUUUAUAAAAAAUAUUAGUUGGCGGGCCGGAUUCGGGGCGCCGGCGGGAGGCGGGGCGGAAUUUUGCUAGUCGGGGCGGGAGGCGGGGCGGGGCUUCCGCCCCCAGAUCCACCCCGUUUGCAUUCCUAAACCCAUUACUCAGCGUAAUAAGGCGAAUCGGAGUUAGACCUGAUCCGGCCCGCACUUGGGUCGCCAUUUGUUAUUGAGCUCAACGUGCGGGCCCAUUUAGUUAACUACGCCUCCAGAGUAUUUCCCCUUCGAUCUAUGAGGAGGUGUGAAGGCCCAUAACCCAACAACAACUCAGCCCAAUAACCCAUUUUAGUUAACUACUUUUUUUUUUCUCGGUUGAAG